rnacentral:rRNA from 1 species
UACAGAGGGUGCGAGCGUUGUCCGGAAUCACUGGGCGUAAAGGGCGCGUAGGCGGCCUGUUAAGUUGGGGGUGAAAUCCUGUGGCUUAACUGUGGGGCUGCCUCCUAGACUGUUAGGCUCGAGCACGGUAGAGGCAGAUGGAAUUCUCGGUGUAGCGGUGAAAUGCGUAGAUAUCGAGAGGAACACCUGCGGCGAAGGCGGGUUGCUGGGCUGACACUGACGCUGAGGCGCGAAAGCUAGGGGAGCGAACGGG